UUACCACUGAGCCACCUGAGAAGCCCAGGUUGUAGAAGUGUUAUGUCUCAAAGGGGCAGAGAAAUAAUUUACAAUACAAAUUUUCUAAAGUUAAUGCUCUAGGAAAAGGGAGAUCAGUAGUGGGCCUACAGUCAGAAAGUAACCAGUUUAAAGUUAGUCAAGUAGAGGGGCAGGUUAAGGUUUUGUCAGGGGGAUGAGGCUUGGAAGCAGGUGGUUGCAGGGGUGUCAACUGAGAUAAACUGGAUUAUACCAGGAAGCGUCUCUGUUCAAAAAUUCCCCAUUGCGGGGACUUCCCUGGUGGUCCAGUGGUUAAGAACCUGCCUUCCAAUGCAGUAGGGCUGGGUUGGAUUCCUGGUAAGGGAACUAACACCCCACAUGCUGAAGGGCAGCUAAGCCCAUGCGCGGCAACUACUGGCCCGCACACCCUGGAGCCCUCGCGCCUCAACUGGAGAAGCCUGCGCACCAUAACAAAAGAUUCUGUGUCACAACCAAGAUCCCACAGUCCACAUCUAAGACCCACACAGCUAAAUAAAUAAAGUAAGAGGAAACCAAUGUCAUAAAAGCAAUUCCCCAUUACAGGCAAGCCACCUAUUGACAUCACACUUAAAGUGAUUCACUCUUAACUGUACUACAGCUAAGUGGUUAACAUUCUAACAUAUUACAGUAUUAGGGUUUUAAAAAUUUGGCUAUAUGUUUAUCUUUACCAGUGUGUCAUAUAUAUUCAUAUGUUUUCUUGUUACUAAUUAGCAUUCUUUUAUUCAGUUUGAAGACUUUCAGCAUUUCUUGUAAGGGAGGUCGAGUGGUGGUGACUCCCUCAGCUUUAAUUUGUCAGAAAAAGUCUAUCUCUUCUUUGUUUCUGAAGGACAGUUUUGCAGGAUAGAGUGUAGUUAGUCGAUAGUUUUUUGUUUGACUAUGUAUAUAUAUACAUGUACAUAAUAGUCCAUUUUAUGCUGAUAAAAACUUAACUUUGCAUACAAAAACUCUACCCUUUUACUACGCCCCACCCUUGCCCUUUUGAUGUUUUGAUGUCAAGUGUGAUCUUUUAAAAUAUAAGUUAGACGAAGUCAUUAAUCUGUUCAAAAUCCAGUCAUGCUAAAAGUAAAUGUCCAAGUGCUUGUAAUGGUCCAGCGCUGCUUCCCCAUCCCCCCAGCGCUGCUUCCCCAUCCCCAGCUGUUACCUCCUGGACCUCACCUCCUGCUGCUCUUGCAGUCUCUCUCUCCUGCCACGCUGGCCUCUUGCUGCUUCUCCAGUCCUGGCAUAUCCUGGCUGUGGCUCUUUGCCUGGUUGUCUCCUUUGCAUCUUUUUACACCCAAGGUGAAUGCUGGGACUAAUCCCUCAUCUUCUUUAUGUCUACUCAGACAUCACUUUCUCAAUAAGGCUGACUUGGACCACUCUAUUGAAUGCUGUAAACUUCCUCUUUAUCCCACCUGCAACCUUCCUUACCUGUUGUUAUUUUUUUUGUAACUGUGUAAUUUACAGUAUCAUUUAUUGUCUGUUAUCACCAUCUACUAUCGCAGUUUCCUAAGAUUAAGUAUUUUGUUUUAUUUACUGAUACACCUCAAAGGCCAAGCACACAAUAGGUAUUCAAUAAAUAUUUAUUGAAUGAAUAGAUGCAAGCGGCCUAAAAAUGCCCUGAAAGUGGGAGCUUUGACUUGAAUUGAGAGAAAACCCUUCGGUAGGGGCUAGGAGGGAAAAGGGUAAGAUGUCAGUCUGGAGCCCAAGCCACCCUGAGGCUACUGUUGGUGUGGGGUAGUUAUAGAUGGAAUUUGUCCUCUCCUUAUUCAUAUAUUAAAGCAUUAAUGCCCCUUGUGCCUAUAUUUUUAGACAGAGCCUUUUAUAAGGUAUUUAAGAUUAAAUGAAGUCAUAAGAGUGUGGCCCUAACCCAAUGGGACUGGUGUCCUUACAAGAAGAGACACGGGUAAUGUGUGCACACAGAGAAAAGGCCACGUGAGGAGAGGGAGAAAGUGGCCAUCUUGCAAGCCAAGGAGAGAGGCCUCAGGAAAAAACAAACCUGCCAGCAACUUGCUCUCAGAUUUCUAGCCUCUAAAACUGUGAGAAAUACAUUUCUGUUACGUAACCCCCCCAUCUGUCAUAUUUUGUUGUGUCAACCUAGUAGGCAGGUAGUAUUUGGCGUGAGAGUUUUUACUUCUGUCUUGGGAGGAACUGUCAGAGGAAAAGGAGAAGUGGGCAGAGAAAAGGAGUUGGAAACUUAACCGUGUGCUCACUUGGAUGUUUGUGCAGGUCACUGUGCUUUUUCCAUUCAGCAGGUGUGAAACACAUUGACUACUUGCCCAGUUUCCUUAAUAAACUUGCUCUCAUUUUGUGGCUCCUGUUGCGAGUGGCUGCAGAUGGGGAUGAGUGCGGUGUGGUGUGUUUGGUCAUUCAUUUGUUCAUCCGUUCACUCAUUCAAGGAAUAUGUGGUAGGUACCUACAUGUGCUAGGCUCCUGUGACAUAGAGAUGAAUAUAAUAUGAUUCCCACCAUAAAUUAAUCAUGUUCUGAUAGUGGAGAAAUACAUGAGCAGAUAAUUGCAUUACAGUGUGAGAAGUCUGAAGACAGAGAGGCAUUCUACAGGCAGUAGUGAUAGAAGAAGGUGCUGAACAGGAGGAGCUCUUGCAUCCUUCUUGGUGACUCCCAAAGUUAACAAAUGUUAAAGUUAGCACAGAUGCAAAACUGAGCCAAAGAGAGUCAUUUUGGCUCAUAGAUAUUAAGAAUGUUAGUUUGCCUAGAGCUCUCCAAGGAUUCUGUAAGCAAUUGACAAAGCCUCAUUCCGAAGAAUGCAACAUUCCCAAAGGGGCACAUCAUGAUGAAGUCUUCAGGAUUCUGAAACCCCCUCUACUGAAUAAGUGCUCUUGAUGGAAUUCGGGCUUCAAAUAUUCCAUUGUGUCUCGGUUCUACCAGCCUUCUGUUGUGCCUGAAUUUCUGUGGGAACAGGAUUUAACCUUUGAGUUAAAACGGUUCUUAGAUGGCAUGACGAUGACAAUAACGUCGUAUCGGCACUGAAUUGCUGCUGCCCCUCAGGUGGCGCUUGUGCUUUGUGAGACCCCAAAGUACACUUUCACUGUCACUGUAGAGUGGGUAAGGGCAUUUUGUCUCAGAUUUGGUACUAGCUUAGAGACAGGGAGCAAAAUGAGUAGGUAGAAAUGCACAUUUGUUUAGAAGGAAAAGGGUAAGCACAGUGGGGUUCCUCAGGGGUUGGUCUGAGUCAGCCUUAGUUAGUGCCUUUAUAAAGGUUCUGCAGAAGGCUUUGUACUGUGAUAUCUCCAAGUCUGCAGCUAAUGCUGAACUCUUCUGAGUAGGGAAAAACCAAGCUGAUGAGUCCUGAUUCCCUGAUGAGCAGGGGAGACUUAGGAAGCUGUGCUAAUGGGCAGGAAAGUGGUAGAUGAGUGUAAGUGUGGACAUGAGCGACAUAAUGCAUUUAGAACAGGAACAUUAAAAAAAUUUAAAAGGAUGAUUCUAAAAUGGGACACAAGAGACUCAUGGAAUCAUGAUAAAUUCUUGCCGAAUGACAUUAACCUACAUGCUUCUGCAGCCAAAUAUGUGUAUUAUAAAGGGAAAACAAGGACAACUGUUGUAAGUAUGAUGUUAGAUUUUCUAAAGCUCAGCCUCUUGAUCAUGCAUUAAUUUAAUUUAAUUUAUGUUUAUGGAGCACCUACUAUGUGAAACAUGUGUUUGGCACUGUGCUGGAUAGGAACAGGCCUCCAAGGGAGAUGGCCUGAUAAGUAUGCAUCAUCUGAUAAGUGAAAGUGGUGGGAGGGAGCCAGUGAGGGCCCUUUAAAUUACCAGGACCUGGCAGGCAGCCUAGAGUGAGAAGCAGCCAAGAGCCUCAGGCACUGGUGGAAGCAUCUGCUGAUAAGGAAACGAUGGUGUCCUGGGAAGGAUACCCUUUGCUUUUCUGUUGACUUGAUACAACAAUCGUGCCACGUGGAAGGGCCUAUUAUGUGCUCUUACACUGCUAAACACCCUUGUUUACCCAGCUCUGUAAAAACCCAGACUCCCUCCCUUUCUUUGACAAAAUGAACAUUCUCCUUGUUGCGGUAACCUAGAUAAAAUAAUCUUCUCCUUAAUUGUCCCAUACAUCUUAUUUUUCACAAUUUCAAGCAAUUAACUAUAAUUAAAUAUAUAUUUGUUCACCUAACCUCUGUAUAUUUGCUCAUCAGGCACUAUAUUGGCCUCCACAUGUAUAGCACUAAGCAAGGCAGACAUAACUCUCUUUGGAAUCCCCAAUUCACAGUCUAGUGAGGGUGUCAGAUGAACAAGGAAUUACACUAAAGUGUGAUGAUUGUUGAGACAGGUGAUAUAAGUGCAGUAUUGGUUAUAAAACGGAAAAGAAUUUAAUCCAGCAUUGAAAAGUGCAAUGUUUACUUUCCUAUGAAAUGCUUCUUUAAUUUACAUCUUAAAGUACAGACAUUGCCUUUGCCAGGGAGCAACGUGACUGAUCAUACAGAGGACUGAUGUAUUUGAGGGAAGGCUUUCUGUGCCUCUGUCCUGGCUGCUCAGGGGACUCCCAAAAUGAAUAGACAGUGGCCAGAUGGAUUCCCUUUGUCGCUUCAUGAUGGAGAGGACUCCACGGAUGAAUAAGCAGGCCACCAAACCUCGGGUCUACUACGGUCCCAGUUUGAAGGUGGAGAUGAGGAUGAAGAAUUGAAGAGGACUCUUCCUCAUGGGCCUUGGUUCUUGGUGAAGACACAGAGAAGAAUCUGAGGUCUUACCCAUGGCAAAAACAAGUUUAUUGAAGAAAGAACAGAAAGAACAGCCCCAGGGAGAGGUGGCUUCUUUCCAGCAAGAGAAGCACUGGAAUGAUGAGAAUUUCUUGGAUACAAGUGAUGGAAACUCAUCUCAAACUAACUGAAAACUGAACGG